UUCUUAUCUAGAGAAGCUGAGGGACUGGCCCGUCGAAGCUUCAGCAACCUGGCGCAAUCCAAGGUGCUAAUUCCAGCGAUGCAUCCAUCGGACGAUAAGAA
rnacentral:ncRNA from 2 species